CAAAGCUGAAACUUAAAGGAAUUGACGGAAGGGCACCACCAGGAGUGGAGCCUGCGGCUUAAUUUGACUCAACACGGGAAAUCUCACCAGGCCCGGACACCGGAAGGAUUGACAGAUUGAGAGCUCUUUCUUGAUUCGGUGGGUGGUGGUGCAUGGCCGUUCUUAGUUGGUGGAGCGAUUUGUCUGGUUAAUUCCGAUAACGAACGAGACUCUGGCCUACUAAAUAGACAGAAAAUCCCUUUGUGGGUGUUUUGAUGCUUCUUAGAGGGACGGGCGGCUUUUAGCCGCACGAGAAUGAGCAAUAACAGGUCUGUGAUGCCCUUAGAUGUUCUGGGCUGCACGCGCGCUACACUGAAGGAAUCAGCGUGUGUUCCCUACCCGAAAGGGUUGGGAAACCCGUUGAACCUCCUUCGUGAUGGGGAUUGGGGAUUGCAAUUAUUCCCCAUGAACGAGGAAUUCCCAGUAGGCGCGAGUCAUAAGCUUGCGUCGAUUACGUCCCUGCCCUUUGUACACACCGCCCGUCGCUACUACCGAUCGAGUGAUUUAGUGAGGCCUUCGGACUGGUCUUCGUGGUGGCUCUCGAGUCAUGACGGAGUUCCGGAAAGAUGGCCAAACUUGAUCACUA
rnacentral:rRNA from 1 species